UACGUAGGUGGCAAGCGUUGUCCGGAUUUACUGGGCGUAAAGCGCGCGCAGGCGGCCUCGCGCGCCCGACGUGAAAGCCCCCGGCUUAACCGGGGAGGGUCGUUGGGGACGGCGGGGCUUGAGGGCGGGAGAGGGUGGUGGAAUUCCCGGUGUAGUGGUGAAAUGCGUAGAGAUCGGGAGGAACACCCGUGGCGAAGGCGGCCACCUGGGCCGACCCUGACGCUGAGGCGCGAAGGCGUGGGGAGCGAACGGG
rnacentral:rRNA from 1 species